rnacentral:rRNA from 1 species
UCUGGCUUGUAACNGACGCUGAGGCUCGAAAGCGUGGGGAGCAANCAGGAUUAGAUACCCUGGUAGUCCACGCCGUAAACGAUGAGUGCUAGGUGUUAGACCCUUUCCGGGGUUUAGUGCCGCAGCUAACGCAUUAAGCACUCCGCCUGGGGAGUACGACCGCAAGGUUGAAACUCAAAGGAAUUGACGGGGGCCCGCACAAGCGGUGGAGCAUGUGGUUUAAUUCGAAGCAACGCGAAGAACCUUACCAGGUCUUGACAUCCCUCUGACCGCUCUAGAGAUAGAGUUUUCCUUCGGGACAGAGGUGACAGGUGGUGCAUGGUUGUCGUCAGCUCGUGUCGUGAGAUGUUGGGUUAAGNNNNNCNACGAGCGCAACCCCUAUUGUUAGUUGCCAUCAUUUAGUUGGGCACUCUAGCGAGACUGCCGGUAAUAAACCGGAGGAAGGUGGGGAUGACGUCAAAUCAUCAUGCCCCUUAUGACCUGGGCUACACACGUGCUACAAUGGCUGGUACAACGAGUCGCAAGCCGGUGACGGCAAGCUAAUCUCUUAAAGCCAGUCUCAGUUCGGAUUGUAGGCUGCAACUC